rnacentral:rRNA from 1 species
GUGUCAGCAGCCGCGGUAAUACAGAGACUGCAAGCGUUAUUCGGAUUCACUGGGCGUAAAGGGUGCGCAGGCGGCCAAGUGUGUCAGGUGUGAAAUCCCGGGGCUUAACUCCGGAACUGCGCCUGAAACUACUUGGCUAGAGCAUUGGAGAGGGAAGUGGAAUUCACGGUGUAGCAGUGAAAUGCGUAGAUAUCGUGAGGAACACCAGAGGCGAAGGCGACUUCCUGGACAAUUGCUGACGCUCAGGCACGAAAGCGUGGGGAGCCAAAGGGAUUAGAAACCCGUGUAGUCC